UACGGAGGGUGCGAGCGUUGUCCGGAAUCACUGGGCGUAAAGGGCGCGUAGGUGGCCCCGUCAAGCGCGCGGUGAAAGCCCGGGGCUCAACCCCGGGUCGGCCGUGCGGACUGGCGGGCUCGAGCACUGUAGGGGCGGGUGGAAUUCCGGGUGUAGCGGUGGAAUGCGUAGAGAUCCGGAAGAACACCGGUGGCGAAGGCGGCCCGCUGGGCAGGAAGGGGGUCGUAAGACCCCCGGCUGACACUGAGGCGCGACAGCGUGGGGAGCAAACAGG
rnacentral:rRNA from 1 species